CUGAGGAGUAGAAGUAUUGGCAACGGGAAACAAUAAGGAAAAAUUAAAAGGAGUUUUAAAAGAAGCACAGAAGGAAACUAGAUAUUACAAAAAACAAGUGACACCUGUGAUAUAGGAGGCAACAGGAAAACCAUUUUAGCAGCUGUGUAACAUGAAUUGGAAUGGAAAAGGAAUAGACAAAUUGAACAAAUGUAACUUGAGUACAGAUGAGGAGCACGGUGAACCCAGGGCAUCUGCAACAUAAAUAAAGAAACUGAUAGGAGAGAGAUUAUGGAGGCAGAAACUACAAGAUCUGGCAUCUGAUAAGAAAUGUGGGGUAAAAGAGAGCAAGAGUCAAGCAUGACACCUAAGUUACAAAGAUGUGUGAAAGAAGUGCUUUUAACAAAAAGGUCAGCAAUUUUUUAGACAAUUUUUAGGGGAAAAUAAGAUCAGUUUUUGAUAUGUACAUUUUAUUAUGGUCAUCCAGUCUGAACUGUCCAAUAAGGAAGUUGUUGAGCCUAGAUUGGGUCAAAGAAUACUUGGACCAGAUAUACAGAUCUUGCAACCAUCUCCACAGAGAUAAUUACACUCAUGUGAGUUGAUGAGAUGAUCAACUUAAAAGAGUAGAGAAAAAAAAAAUAGAGGCUUGAAGUACAUGAACAGGUGUGUGUAAUGGAUGCUAAGUUAGCAGAGGAGAAAGAAAAGGAACAAUUAAAAGAUAUCAACUUAGGAGAAAGAGAAGUGUAACCAAAAAAAAGUAUUCAGAAGAAAGGGUGGCCAAGUGUCUAAUAGUGCAGAAAUUUGUUAAAGAAAAGCAUUAAAAAGCAUUAUUGCUAAGACUGUUGAGCAGUUUCUGUUGAUGAAUUUAGAAAGAGUCUGAAAAUAGCAGAUAACUUUUUCUAAAGGUUUUGGCUCAGAAAAGGAGGCUAUAGGAAAAUAGUUUGAAGGGACAAUAGGGCCUAGCUAGAUUUGGCUAUAUUUGUGAGCAUCAGAGAAAGAGGCAGUACAUAGGAGACUGAAAAUUAGAGGAGAAAAAAAAGUUAUGAUUAUAGGGAGGAUCUGCAGAAGAAAACAAAAUAAAGGACACUUGAAGAAAAGUUGUUCUUAUUGACCCAGUGAAAUGUAUGUCAUCAGAAAAUCAAAAACCCAAGUUUGGAGUAUCAUCAGUCUCACCAAUCCGAAUGAAACUUAAAAAUGGAACACAAGUUUGAUGAAUUUCCUCAACUGGAUGGGACAAGAUACUCAAUAAAUAUUGUUAGUAUUA